rnacentral:misc_RNA from 1 species
AAAGUCGUAACAAGGUUUCCGUAGGUGAACCUGCGGAAGGAUCAUUAAAAAGUUUAGUUGGUCUUCGGACCUUCACGGUAGGCUCACAAGGCCCCGUUCUCCUUAAACACUUGCAUACCUUUCCCUCUGCUUUCCGCAUCAGCAAUGGUGCGGAACAUCAUAUAUAACUCUGUUUAACUGUAAUGUCUGAAUAAAACUUAAUAAGUUAAAACUUUCAACAACGGAUCUCUUGGUUCUC